AUUGAACGCUGGCGGCAGGCCUAACACAUGCAAGUCUAGCGAGUGGCGGACGGGUGAGUAAUGUCUGGGUACUGCCUGAUGGAGGGGGAUAACUACUGGAAAAGGUAGCUAAUACCGCAUACCAUCAGAUGUGCCCAGAUGGGCUUAGCUGGUAGGUGGGGUAACGGUUCACAUAGGCCACGAACCCUAGCUGGUCUGAGAGGAGGACCAGCCACACUGGAAUUGAGACACGGUCAAGACUCCUACGGUGGGCAGCAGUGGGAAUGAUUGCACAAGGGGCGCAAGCCUGAUGCAGCAAUGCCGGGUGUGUGAAGAAGGCCUUCGGGUUGUAAGGCACUUUCAGCGGGGAGGCGUUACCCGCAGAAGAAGCACCGGCUAACUCCGUGCCAGCAGCCGCGGUAAUUC
rnacentral:rRNA from 1 species